rnacentral:tRNA from 1 species
UAGGGGUAUAGCUCAGUUGGUAGAGCGGCGGUCUCCAAAACCGCAGGUCGCGGGUUCAAGCCCUGCUGCCCCUGCCAG